rnacentral:lncRNA from 1 species
UUAAGAAGAAUUGAGAAAUACCUUUUCAAAGAUGGAUGAUAUAAACUACCAAGGCAGCCAACCCCCGCUUACUCAAAAUUCUACCAAAAUUUUGCCUUUACUCCAAAUUAAGUAAUUCUUAUCUUGUUGGAAAGCUAACAUCAAAAGCUACAAAUAAAAAAAGUAUUUACAUCAAAAUUCAAAAAUUUAAUAAUUGAUUGAGGGAGAUCCAAGGCUCUUAAACCAUUGGAAUAUUUAGAAAGCC